ACACGUAGGUAACCUGCCCAUGUGCCCGGGAUAACUUCUGGAAACGGAUGCUAAAACCGGAUAGGUAGCAGACAAGCAUUUGACUGCUAUUAAAGUGGCUAAGGCCAUGAACAUGGAUGGACCUGCGGCGCAUUAGCUAGUUGGUGAGGUAACGGCCCACCAAGGCGACGAUGCAUAGCCGGCCUGAGAGGGCGGACGGCCACAUUGGGACUGAGACACGGCCCAAACUCCUACGGGAGCAGCAUG
rnacentral:rRNA from 1 species